GCAAGCAAAAAAUAUAGAGUAGUCACGUUGCAUGAGAUCACUUUACAUCGUUAUCCAUUAAGAAGCCAUUUUGUUAGUAUCGACACUUGUAGAACCGAAUAAUUAUUCAGUCUCUUGAUAGCGUAACCUCGCUUGAUAGCAUAGCGUUCUGAGAUCUUUCUAGAAACACUCGGGACGUUCUCGACACCAAACAAUAAGGUUAUGGAUAGCAAGACGUAGCAACUAUAUCGGUAAUCGUAUCGGCCGGUAACAGGCUCUCUGCAAAUAGAACGCGCGGAGCACGACAGAUGUCGCGGUGAUCCACAUUGAGGGAACUGGCGGUUAUUCUUCACAUUCGUGUUAUUCGCCACGUUCGCGCGUGGCUGAUCGUCGUGAAGAGAUUGCGGCGUCGAAUUCUAGCCCAAUUUUUAUGCGAUUACGGCCAUCUUGUGAUUCGUAUUCGAAAUCACAUAGGACUGCUUGUUAUGAAAAGUUGUGGCAAUGAGGUUCCAACUACAUUUGGUGUUAGGAGAUAGCUGUCUCAGUAUUCGAUGAGU